AGAGCGAACGCUGGCGGCAGGCCUAACACAUGCAAGUCGAGCGCCCGUAGCAAUACGGGAGCGGCAGACGGGAUAGUAACACGUGGGAACGCGCCCUUCGGUUCGGAAUAACUCAGGGAAACUUGAGCUAAUACCGGAUACGCCCUUACGGGGAAAGAUUUAUUGCCGAAGGAACGGCCCGCGUCCGAUUAGCUAGUUGGUGAGGUAAUGGCUCACCAAGGCGACGAUCGGUAGCUGGUCUGAGAGGAUGACCAGCAUCACUGGGACUGAGACACGGCCCAGACUCCUACGGGAGGCAGCAGUGGGGAAUAUUGGACAAUGGGCGCAAGCCUGAUCCAGCCAUGCCGCGUGGAUGAUGAAGGCCUUAGGGUUGUAAAGUCCUUUUAAACGGGGAAGAUAAUGACGGUACCCGUAGAAUAAGCCCGGCUAACUUCGCGCCAGCAGCCGC
rnacentral:rRNA from 1 species